UGACUGCUGAUUCGGUGGCUGAAGUCCG
rnacentral:sRNA from 1 species